CCUACGGGUGGCAGCAGUGAGGAAUAUUGGUCAAUGGGCGAGAGCCUGAACCAGCCAAGUCGCGUGAAGGAUGACGGCCCUACGGGUUGUAAACUUCUUUUGUCAGGGAGCAAUUGGGUCCACGCGUGGGCUUAGCGAGAGUACCUGAAGAAAAAGCAUCGGCUAACUCCGUGCCAGCAGCCGCGGUACUACGGAGGGUGCGAGCGUUAUCCGGAGUUAUUGGGUUUAAAGGGUGCGUAGGCGGAAUAUCAAGUCAGCGGUAAAAAUUCGGGGCUCAACCCCGUCGUGCUGUUGAACCUGAUGUGCUUGAGUGUGCGAGAAGUAUGCGGAAUGCGGGGUGUAGCGGUGAAAUGCAUAGAUAUCACGCAGAACUCCGAUUGCGAAGGCAGCAUACCGGCGCCCAACUGACGCUGAAGCACGAAAGCGUGGGUAUCGAACAGGAUUAGAUACCCUAGUAGUC
rnacentral:rRNA from 1 species